AAGUCUACCUCUUCAAUAGUAGAUGCAUGAUGCACAUGCUACCCAGUGUCAAAGUACAGCAAGGUCUUCCCCAUCAACAGCUGGGGCAGUCAUCAGACAGCGAGGGUUGUCAGCUCCACAGAGAUUUACUCAUCAACCACGUAGAUGUCAGAGACCUGCAGUUGAUGAGUUUCCUAACCGUUAACAUUGAAUCAGAUGGUGUCUACCUGUCACACAUUUCCGAGACCUGCAACUGCGUGUAGUCAGCCCACUGUCUACAUAUCACCUGUUUAUAUGUGUCAGGGUUAUGCAAGAGGAAGGUAAAAUACCUGUGGUUGUUUUACACUAACAUCAAGGGUGGUCUGUUUUGAUAAGUAAAAGAUCUGGAAUGUACUGUACACCAUGCCUGACCUAAAACAAAUUUACAAAAUUUAGUUCAGGCAAAUCAGAUCCAAUUUAUUUAAGGUACACUUUGGCAAAAUUGAUCUGAAAAUUUAAAUGAUGUAUAAAUGCAGUAAUCAUUAAUGGAUCACCAUAUUUUGAUGACAAUGGCCAAAUUAAACGCCCCUAGUUAUGGUUAGUUCAUUUAAUAAUAAUACAUUAUAAUAACAAAUAUAAUAAUGUGCCAUGUCUGUCUAAAAGACACUCCUGGCGCAGGAGAGAUGCAGAAGCAAGAUUGCAAUGAGCUACAUUGUUAAGCAUAAAUAGAAGUUUUUGACUUCCUUUUCUGUGUCCCGUUACAUCUUAGGACACCUCAAUGUUUUCAUCUCACAGCAUAAAAAAGCUGAUAUCCUAAAACUUAGAGAGUGUAGCAAAUAACUCUCAUUACAAUCUUGAAAGCUUCAGAGUUUGAGAGAAAAAGUAAUUUUUAUUAUUUAAACCUCACAGUCUUCAAGGCAUUAUAUAUGAAGGAAUCCUAAAUGAGCAACCAGCUUGUUGAUUUCAUUUGUAAGUAGAUUUGUUAAUUAUUUAAUGUCGGAGGCAGAUGUUAUCUAACAUUCAAGUAAAUGUUCUUGUAAAAAGUAAGUGUACAAUUUGCAAGCAAGCACACAAUUUGUGUGUUUUUAACUCACAAAGUUGGAGAAAAAUGUACUGUUUCUCGGGGUGGAAUACUUCCCGAAAGAGUGGCUUUAAGAUUUCAGAAAGAUAGUGGGUCUGGUAUAGACUUUUGUUACCAGGAGGAAAAAACCUUAUCUUAAAAUUAAAUUUCUUGCAAGGUACACUUAUUUACUCCACAACUUAAAGCUUCACAAAAUUUUAAAGUAAACUCAUACAUGUAGGUCAAUAAUUAUAAGUAGCCAUAAUCUUUUCUCUUAAUGUUGUUGACUUAAAGACACUGGACACUCGUGGUAAUUACUCAACAUAAUUGUUAGAAUAAAAACUUACUUGGU